rnacentral:lncRNA from 12 species
CACACAAAUCCCAAAUUUUUCCCCACAAAUCAGAAAAUUCCCAGAUUUUUCUCCGAAAAUAGGGGGAAAAAAUCAAGAAAUUGUACAUUUUUCCUUUCAUUUUUCCUCAUUUCUCCCAUUUUUUCCUCUCUCUCCAGUGUUUAACAUCCACCUGAAACAAAUCCCAAAUUUCCUUCCCCAAAUCCACCAGAAACAACAAAUCCUCCUUUUUUUGCCCGUCAGAAACAACAAAUCCUCCUUUUUUUUUUGCCCAUUUUUCCUCCAUUUUUUUGCCUGUUUUUAGUCAUUUUUUCCUUUUUUCCUCCAUUUUUUUUGCCCAUUUUUCCUCCAUUUUUUUUGCCUGUUUUUAGCCAUUUUUUCCUUUUUUCCUCCAAUUUUUUUUCCCAUUUUUCCUCCAUUUUUUUUGCCAGUUUUUAGCCAUUUUUUCCUUUUUUCUCCAUUUUUUUCCCCAUUUUUCCCAUUUUUUUUGCUUCUCUCUCCAGAGUUUAACAUCCACAGUUUCCACCUGAAACAAAUCCCAAAUUUCCUUCCCCAAAUCCACCAGAAACAACAAAUCCUCCUUUUUUUGCCCGUUUUUCCUCAUUUUCCUCCCAUUUUUCCUCAUUUUCCUCUCAUUUUUUCCACCGGUUUUCCUCAUUUUUCACCCGUUUUUCCUGAUUUUUCCCCGAUUUUUCUCCUUUUUUCCCCAUUUUUCCUCAUUCUCCUCCCAUUUUUCCUCAUUUUUCUCCUGUUUUUCCUAAUUUUUUUCCACCAUUUUUCCUGAUUUUUCCCCCAUUUUUCCUCCUUUUCCCCCUCGUUUUCCCUUGUUCCCGUUUUUCCUCACUUUCCCCCCGUUUUUCCUCAUUUUUUCCCCAUUUUUCCUCAUUUUCCUCCCAUUUUUCCUCCUUUUAUCCCCAUUUUUCCUCCUUUUUCCCCUCAUUUUCCCUUGUUCCCGUUUUUCCUCAUUUUCCUCCAUUUUUCCUCCUUUUUUCCCCCGUUUUCUCUCAUUCUUCCCAUUUUCCCUCAUUUUUCCCUCGUUUUUCCUCCUUUUUCCCCUCACUCUCCCGUUCCCCCAUUUUCCCCCCUCACUCUCCCGUUCCCCCAUUUUCCCCCCUCACUCUCCCGUUCCCCCCUUUUGGGGGGGGGGGGGGGGGGGGGGGGGGGGGGGGGGGGGGGGGGGGG